UUGACCUCAAAUCAGGUAGGACUACCCGCUGAACUUAAGCAUAUCAAUAAGCGGAGGAAAAGAAACUAACAAGGAUUCCCCUAGUAACUGCGAGUGAAGCGGGAAAAGCUCAAAUUUAAAAUCUGAUGGUCUUUAUGGCUGUCCGAGUUGUAAUCUAGAGAAGUGCUUUCCGCGUUGGACCGUGUACAAGUCUCUUGGAAUAGAGCAUCAUAGAGGGGGAGAUCCCGUCUUUGACACGGACUACCAGUGCUUAUGUGAUGCGCUCUCGAAGAGUCGAGUUGUUUGGGAAUGCAGCUCAAAAUGGGUGGUAAAUCC
rnacentral:rRNA from 1 species